rnacentral:lncRNA from 1 species
CCAAUGAAAGAGCUUCUAUCUGGUUGCUUGAUCUUCUAGAAAUAGUAACCAGGUCUUCCUCAGGCUACAAUUGAGCAUCUUUAAAAGGAAUCAGUGAAAAGAAAAUUUUGUUAUUGAUGGAUGAUGACUGGGCGUUGGAGAAACGGUAUUCAUAUGACUAAAAUGUUUUAGACAAUCCCUCUAAAGGUUUUGGUCAGGGCUGAAUUAGGGAGAAAAAUAUAACAAAGACAAAAGCAGCAGCAGCAGCAACAGCAGCAACAGCAGCAGCAACUCUAUGGUUUUUGAAAAAUAUUCAUGAAUAGUAACCGAUGUUAGUAUUCGUACAAAAGCUUCAAGAGAAUGAGAUACAACGAAAAAUAAAAGUAUUUGUUUUUUUUAACUCGGCACAUCAAUUAGGCAGGCAGUAAUAGUUCAUCUUUGGUUUGGUGUUGCUGAAUAACUGUUGGGAUUUGUAGUCACUUGGGAAAUGCAUAACUGGCGUCAAAGACCGUGUGUUUACUCGAAAGUAGACUGAUGGCAUAUAAACAAUCGUCAAUCUCUCGUUCCCAAACUACCGUUGAGAAGCGUCCAUUAAAAAGGCUGCUUGAACGAAACCUUGGCAUGGGAAAUUCUAGAGGAACUUCCGUUAUGACGAGCAUCUACUCAACACAAGGCAGGUAUAGCACUCACUUAUAACAAUUUGAUACAAACUUUAAUUCGCUUUCUUUUAUUAUUAAGUAAUUCGAGUGUGUUCAGUGAGUGGUCGU